GAAUAUUGCGCAAUGGGGGAAACCCUGACGCAGCGACGCCGCGUGAGCGAAGAAGGCCUUAGGGUCGUAAAGCUCUGUUGUAAGGGACGAAUGUUCACUUUGCGAAUAGUUAAGUGAAAUGACGGUACCUUACCAGCAAGCCCCGGCUAACUACGUUCCAGCAUCCGCGGUAAGACGUAGGGGGCGAGCGUUGUCCGGAAUUACUGGGCGUAAAGAGAACGUAGGCGGAUAAUUAAGUCAGAUGUGGAAGACCGCGGCCCAACCGAGGGGUUGCAUCUGAAACUGGAUAUCUUGAGGGCAGGAGAGGGCAGUGGAAUUCCUGGUGUAGCGGUGAAAUGCGUAGAAAUCAGGAGGAACACCAGUGGCGAAGGCGGCUGCCUGGACUGACCCUGACGCUGAGGUGCGAAAG
rnacentral:rRNA from 1 species